rnacentral:sRNA from 1 species
AACAAACGAAUUCGAAAUGUUUUUUCGAC